AGGGUGUAAACGCUGCAGACUUGGUGUUGGGAACCCUUCGGGGGUGCUCAGUGCCGGAGAGAAGUUGUUAAGUCUGCUACUUGGGGAGUACGUCCGCAAGGAUGAAACUUAAAGGAAUUGGCGGGGGAGCACCGCAACGGGAGGAGCGUGCGGUUUAAUUGGAUUCAACGCCGAAAAACUCACCAGGGAAGACUGUUACAUGAAGGCCGAGAUGAAGACUCUGCUAGAUUUUCAGAGAGGUGGUGCAUGGCGUCAGUGACU
rnacentral:rRNA from 1 species